GCCUGGCUAGCUCAGUUGGUAGCGCAUGGGCUUCUUGAUCCCAGGAUUGUGGGUUUGUACCCCAUGCACCCCA